GAUAGAGUAGUUUAUAAAAACUUUGGUCUUGUAAACCAAUAAUAACAAUUUUUGUUUUCUUUCA
rnacentral:tRNA from 1 species